UUUUUGUUCUUCGAGCUCUCUAGAAGCUCUCUCUCUCAACCGAAUCUCUUUCUUCAUUCUGCUAUGUUUUCAUGGUAUCAGAGCAGGAAAUCUUCGGUCGCUCCUCCGUCAUCUGUUAUCAACUCUGUCAGAGUUGUUUUUGAAGAUUUUUUUUGGAUAUUUGUGAGAGAUUCUGUUGUUGACAAACCCUAUGUGUAUCGAGCAGCCAAUCGGAACUUUUACCGCUAUAUGAUGGUUCGAUCUUACCUGGGUGGACGUUUUGGGUAACUUUUCAACGUCCUCGACCUAAUUCCGGUAAGUUUCCAAGUUCUAGGGUUUCUGGUGUUCGGAGUUAGGGUUUUCUCUGUCAGUUGAAGGUCGUUCUUCUCCGGUCGCGAAGAAGGCGGGUAAAUCUAUUCUUGUUCUAGAUGCUAUAUGCUUUGCAUGUGGUUUUGGUUCAACUCUAGUUUUCCAAAUUUUUUACCGAGACUAUUUUUUUUAUAUUUCAAACUCAUUGAUGUUCAUGACCUCUAACAUGAGUGUUAAUACAUCCUCUGUUGACCCUACCAGCCCUCUUUUCAUUUACUCCUC
rnacentral:lncRNA from 1 species